UACGAGGGGGGCGAGCGUUGUUCGGAAUUAUUGGGCGUAAAGGGUGCGUAGGCGGUUUGGUCAGUUUUAUGUGAAAUCUAUGGGCUCAACUCAUAGUCUGCCUGAGAAACUGCCGGGCUUGAGUAUGGGAGAGGUGAGUGGAAUUCCUGGUGUAGCGGUGAAAUGCGUAGAUAUCGGGAGGAACACCUGUGGCGAAAGCGGCUCACUGGACCACAACUGACGCUGAGGCGCGAAAGCUAGGGGAGCAAACAGG
rnacentral:rRNA from 1 species